GAAGCUGACCAGACAGUCGCCGCUUCGUCGUCGUCCUCUUCGGGGGAGACGGGCGGAGGGGAGGAAAGUCCGGGCUCCAUAGGGCAGGGUGCCAGGUAACGCCUGGGGGGGGAAACCCACGACCAGUGCAACAGAGAGCAAACCGCCGAUGGCCCGCGUAAGCGGGAUCAGGUAAGGGUGAAAGGGUGCGGUAAGAGCGCACCGCGCGGCUGGUAACAGUCCGUGGCACGGUAAACUCCACCCGGAGCAAGGCCAAAUAGGGGUUCAUAAGGUACGGCCCGUACUGAACCCGGGUAGGCUGCUUGAGCCAGUGAGCGAUUGCUGGCCUAGAUGAAUGACUGUCCACGACAGAACCCGGCUUAUCGGUCAGUUUCACCU
rnacentral:RNase_P_RNA from 1 species